rnacentral:rRNA from 1 species
CAGAGGUCCCGAGCGUUGUUCGGAUUCACUGGGCGUAAAGGGUGCGUAGGUGGUGAGGUAAGUCGGAUGUGAAAUCUCCGGGCUCAACCCGGAAAUGGCAUUGGAAACUACCUUGCUGGAGGAUUUGAGGGGGGAUUGGAAUACUCGGUGUAGCAGUGAAAUGCGUAGAUAUCAAGUGGAACACCAGUGGCGAAGGCGAAUCCCUGGAAAAUACCUGACACUGAGGCACGAAAGCUAGGGGAGCAAACAGGAUUAGAUACCCUGGUAGUCCUAGCCCUAAACGGUGCUUGCUUGCUGUAAGAGGAAUCGACCCCUCUUGUGGCGGAGCUAACGCGUUAAGCAAGGCCGCCUGGGAAGUACGGUCGCAAGAUUA